GUGGGGAAUUUUGGACAAUGGGGGCAACCCUGAUCCAGCCAUUCCGCGUGAGUGAAGAAGGCCUUCGGGUUGUAAAGCUCUUUCGGCAGGAACGAAACGGUUGCGGUGAAUAGCCGCGACUACUGACGGUACCUGAAGAAGAAGCACCGGCUAACUACGUGCCAGCAGCCGCGGUAAUACGUAGGGUGCGAGCGUUAAUCGGAAUUACUGGGCGUAAAGCGUGCGCAGGCGGCUUACUAAGACAGGUGUGAAAUCCCCGGGCUUAACCUGGGAAUGGCGCUUGUGACUGGUAGGCUAGAGUACGUCAGAGGGGGGUGGAAUUCCACGUGUAGCAGUGAAAUGCGUAGAGAUGUGGAGGAACACCGAUGGCGAAGGCAGCCCCCUGGGAUGAUACUGACGCUCAGGCACGAAAGCGUGGGGAGCAAACAGGAUUAGAAACCCUGGUAGUCC
rnacentral:rRNA from 1 species